GACAGAGGGUGCAAACGUUGUUCGGAAUUACUGGGCGUAAGGCGCGUGUAGGCGGCUUGGCAAGUCGGGUGUGAAAGCCCUGGGCUCAACCCAGGAAGUGCACUCGAAACUGCUUCGCUCGAGUAUCGGAGAGGAAAGCGGAAUUCUCGGUGUAGAGGUGAAAUUCGUAGAUAUCGAGAGGAACACCGGUGGCGAAGGCGGCUUUCUGGACGGUAACUGACGCUGAGACGCGAAAGCGUGGGGAGCAAACAGG
rnacentral:rRNA from 1 species